rnacentral:tRNA from 1 species
GCCGCGAUAGCUCAGUCGGUAGAGCGCAUCCAUGGUAAGGAUGAGGUCACGAGUUCAAAUCUCGUUCGCGGCUCCA